UGCCACGCGAGCAGAGAUUAGGGUAUGCGGUUCGAAGAAGAUGUACAUAGUCUCUCCCCUUCAGAAACCCUCUCAGAAGCCCCGACGAUCUCAGUGACGCUUCUCUCCUGCGGCUGCAUUGCAAGGCGUCUUCGUGAAUCAUGAGGGCUAAGUGGAAGAAAAAACGCAUGAGGCGCUUGAAGCGUAAGCGUCGAAAGAUGAGACAACGAUCCAAGUAGGUGCUUGGUAGUUAGGUUUCUGCCCAGUAGGGAGGAGAUCUAUAAAUGCUUUUGUACUAGAUGUCUCGUUUAGAGAACUCUUCGAAAGUUCGGCCACUUCCUUAAUAUAUUUACGGGAUUACUUUUGAGGUCACUUGAGCUUCGGAGUUGCUUCCCGCUUAAUCGAGCUGUCAGCUCACGCUUAAGUCAGAUUGUACUGUCGUUACUGUAGUCUAUUCAGUGGUUCCAUCUUCAAGGAUUUUGUCAUUUCUCGAUUUCAUCCAUUAGUUUCCAGUUUGGUGUUGUGCAAAGUUGCUUACACGAUGUUACCAGUUUUUGUUGAUAUAGCGCAUUUUCUA